GGACGAGCGCUGGCGGCGUGCUUAACCCAUGCAAGUCGAACGGAAAGGCCCUGCUUUUGUGGGGUGCUCGAGUGGCGAACGGGUGAGUAACACGUGAGUAACCUGCCCUUGACUUUGGGAUAACUUCAGGAAACUGGGGCUAAUACCGGAUAGGAGCUCCUGCUGCAUGGUGGGGGUUGGAAAGUUUCGGCGGUUGGGGAUGGACUCGCGGCUUAUCAGCUUGUUGGUGGGGUAGUGGCUUACCAAGGCUUUGACGGGUAGCCGGCCUGAGAGGGUGACCGGCCACAUUGGGACUGAGAUACGGCCCAGACUCCUACGGGAGGCAGCAGUGGGGAAUAUUGCACAAUGGGCGGAAGCCUGAUGCAGCAACGCCGCGUGCGGGAUGACGGCCUUCGGGUUGUAAACCGCUUUCGCCUGUGACGAAGCGUGAGUGACGGUAAUGGGUAAAGAAGCACCGGCUAACUACGUG
rnacentral:rRNA from 1 species